rnacentral:lncRNA from 1 species
CAGUAGGACUGGGAGUUGAGCUUGACUCCAUCCUCAACCCGAAAAGGCCCCACAAGCUCAUCUUUGAUGAUACCAGCCCAAACCAGUACUCCACCUCCACCUUGCUGGCGUCUGAGUUGGACUGGAGCUCUCUGCCCUUUACCAAUCCAGCCACGGGCCCAUCAAGACUCACUCUCAUUUCAUCAGUCCAUAAAACCUUAGAAAAAUCAGUCUUGAGAUAUUUCUUGGCCCAGUC